GGUUUGAUCAUGGCUCAGAUUGAACGCUGGCGGGAUGCUUUACACAUGCAAGUCGAACGGCAGCACGGACUUCGGUCUGGUGGCGAGUGGCGAACAGGUGAGUAAUGUAUCGGAACGUGCCUAGUAGCGGGGGAUAACUUCGCUUGAAAGCGUAGCUAAUACCGCAUACCUUCGAGGGGAAAGCGGGGGACCUUCGGGCCUCGCACUAUUAGAGCGGCCGAUAUCGGAUUAGCUAGUUGGUGGGGGUAACGGCUCACCAAGGCGACGAUCCGUAGCUGGUUUGAGAGGACGACCAGCCACACUGGGACUGAGACACGGCCCAGACUCCUACGGGAGGCAGCAGUGGGGAAUUUUUGGACAAUGGGGGAAACCCUGAUCCAGCCAUCCCGCGUGUGCGAUGAAGGCCUUCGGGUUGUAAAGCACUUUUGGCAGGAAAGAAACGGCACGGGAUAAUACCCCGUGCAACUGACGAGUACCUGCAGAAUAAGCACCGGCUAACUACGUGCCAGCAGCCGCGGUAAUACGUAGGGUGCAAGCGUUAAUCGGAAUUACUGGGCGUAAAGCGUGCGCAGGCGGUUCGGAAGAAAGAUGUGAAAUCCCAGAGCUUAACUUUGGAACUGCAUUUUUUAACUACCGAGCUAGAGUGUGCUGUCCAGAGGGAGGUGGAAUUCCGCGUGGCAGUGAAAUGCGUAGAUAUGCUUGGAGGAACACCGAUGGCGAAGGCAACCUCCUGGGAUAACACACUGACGCUCAUGCACGAAAGCGUGGGAGCAAACAGGAUUAGAUACCCUGGUAGUCCACGCCCCUAAACGAUGUCAACUAGCUGUUGGGGCCUUCGGGCCUUGGUAGCGCAGCUAACGUGAAGUUGACCGCCUGGGGAGAUACGAAUCGCAAGAUUAAAACUCAAAGGAGUUGACGGGGACCCGCACAAGCGGUGGAUGAUGUGGAUUAAUUCGAUGCAACGCGAAAAGCCUUACCACCGCCGACAUGUCUGGAAUCCCGAAGAGAUUUUGGGAGUGCUCGCAAGAAACCGGAACACAGGUGCUGCAUGGCUGUCGUCAGCUCGUGUCGUGAGAUGUUGGGUUAAGUCCCGCAACGAGCACAACCCUUGUCAUUAGUUGCUACGAAGGGCACUCUAAUGAGACUGCCGGUGACAAACCGGAGGAAGGUGGGGAUGACGUCAAGUCCUCAUAGCCCUUAUGGGCAGGGCUUCACACGUCAUACAAUGGUCAGGACAGAGGUCGCCAACCCGCGAGGAGCCAAUCCCAGAAACCCGAUCUUAGUCCGGAUCGCAGUCUGCAACUCGACUGCGUGAAGUCAGAAUCUCGCUAGUAAUCGCGGAUCAGCAUGUCGCGGUGAAUGCGUUCCCGGGUCUUGUACACACCGCCCGUCACACCAUGGGAGUGGGUUUUACCAGAAGUAGUUAGCCUAACCGUAGGAGGGCGAUUACCACGGUAGGAUUCAUGACUGGGGUGAAGUCGUAGCGUAAGGUAA
rnacentral:rRNA from 1 species